GGGGUUGUGGCUCAAUGGUAGAGCACUUGCCUAACAUGUGUGAAACACUGGGUUUGAUUCUCAGCACCA
rnacentral:tRNA from 1 species